rnacentral:rRNA from 1 species
UACGUAGGGGGCAAGCGUUGUCCGGAAUCAUUGGGCGUAAAGAGCGUGUAGGCGGCCUCGUAAGUCCGCUGUGAAAGUCCAGGGCUCAACCCUGGAAUGCCGGUGGAAACUGUCAGGCUCGAGUCCGGAAGAGGCGAGUGGAAUUCCUGGUGUAGCGGUGAAAUGCGCAGAUAUCAGGAGGAACACCAGUGGCGAAGGCGGCUCACUGGCCCGGUACUGACGCUGAGGCGCGAAAGCGUGGGGAGCAAACAGG